ACUCAAAUGAAUUGACGGGGGCCCGCACAAGCGGCGGAGCAUGUUGCUUAAUUCGAUGCAACGCGAAGAACCUUACCAAGGCUUGACAUGCAGGGAAAAGCCGUAGAGAUACGGUGUCCUUCGGGGUCCUGCACAGGUGGUGCAUGGCUGUCGUCAGCUCGUGUCGUGAGAUGUUGGGUUAAGUCCCGCAACGAGCGCAACCCUUGUCCCAUGUUGCCAGCGAGUUAUGUCGGGGACUCGUGGGAGACUGCCGGGGUCAACUCGGAGGAAGGUGGGGAUGACGUCAAGUCAUCAUGCCCCUUACGUCUUGGGCUGCAAACAUGCUACAAUGGCUGGUACAAAGGGCUGCGACCCCGCGAGGGUGAGCUAAUCCCAGAAAGCCAGUCUCAGUUCGGAUCGUAGUCUGCAACUCGACUGCGUGAAGUCGGAGUCGCUAGUAAUCGCAGAUCAGCAUUGCUGCGGUGAAUACGUUCCCGGGCCUUGUACACACCGCCCGU
rnacentral:rRNA from 1 species